rfam:Scleropages formosus scaffold9126, whole genome shotgun sequence.
CUGCACCCUGGUUCAAGUAAUCCAGGAUAGGCUGUGUGCGUCCAGGUUGGCCUAUUCAUGAUUACUUGCACUGGAGGGCUG